GCCUGGCUGGUUCAGUCAGUGGAACAGGUGACUCUUGAUCUUGGGAGUGUGGGUUUGAGCCCCAUGUUGGGUA
rnacentral:tRNA from 1 species